UACGGAGGGUGCGAGCGUUAUCCGGAAUUACUGGGUUUAAAGGGUGCGUAGGCGGCUGUGUAAGUCAGGAGUGAAAGUUUGCGGCUCAACCGUAAAAUUGCUUUUGAUACUGCACGGCUGGAAUCAGGAUGAGGUCAGCGGAAUGUGGCAUGUAGCGGUGAAAUGCAUAGAUAUGACAUAGAACACCAAUUGCGAAGGCAGCUGGCUACACGAAUAUUGACACUGAUGCACGAAAGCGUGGGGAUCAAACAGG
rnacentral:rRNA from 1 species